GAGCGGUAGAGAGAAGCUUGCUUCUCUUGAGAGCGGCGGACGGGUGAGUAAUGCCUAGGAAUCUGCCUGGUAGUGGGGGAUAACGCUCGGAAACGGACGCUAAUACCGCAUACGUCCUACGGGAGAAAGCAGGGGACCUUCGGGCCUUGCGCUAUCAGAUGAGCCUAGGUCGGAUUAGCUAGUUGGUGAGGUAAUGGCUCACCAAGGCGACGAUCCGUAACUGGUCUGAGAGGAUGAUCAGUCACACUGGAACUGAGACACGGUCCAGACUCCUACGGGAGGCAGCAGUGGGGAAUAUUGGACAAUGGGCGAAAGCCUGAUCCAGCCAUGCCGCGUGUGUGAAGAAGGUCUUCGGAUUGUAAAGCACUUUAAGUUGGGAGGAAGGGCAGUAACCUAAUACGUUAUUGUUUUGACGUUACCGACAGAAUAAGCACCGGCUAACUCUGUGCCAGCAGCCGCGGUAAUACA
rnacentral:rRNA from 1 species